rnacentral:rRNA from 1 species
AACGAACGCUGGCGGCAUGCCUAACACAUGCAAGUCGAACGAGACCUUCGGGUCUAGUGGCGCACGGGUGCGUAACGCGUGGGAAUCUGCCCUUGGGUUCGGAAUAACAGUGAGAAAUUACUGCUAAUACCGGAUGAUGUCUUCGGACCAAAGAUUUAUCGCCCAGGGAUGAGCCCGCGUAGGAUUAGGUAGUUGGUGGGGUAAUGGCCUACCAAGCCGACGAUCCUUAGCUGGUCUGAGAGGAUGAUCAGCCACACUGGGACUGAGACACGGCCCAGACUCCUACGGGAGGCAGCAGUGGGGAAUAUUGGACAAUGGGCGAAAGCCUGAUCCAGCAAUGCCGCGUGAGUGAUGGAGGCCUUAGGGUUGUAAAGCUCUUUUACCAGGGAUGAUAAUGACAGUACCUGGAGAAUAAGCUCCGGCUAACUCCGUGCCAGCCGCCGCCGUAA